GGUCAGUGCAAACUCUGUCUAUGGAUUUACUGGAGCUACUGUUGGGCAGCUGCCUUGUCUAGAAAUAUCUUCUAGUGUGACCAGCUAUGGUCGUCAGAUGAUAGAGGAAACCAAGAAGCUAGUUGAGGCACGAUUUACUACUAAAGGUGGCUAUGAGCAUAAUGCUGAGGUUGUAUAUGGAGAC